rnacentral:rRNA from 1 species
AUUGAACGCUAGCGGGAUGCUUUACACAUGCAAGUCGAACGAGUGGCGGACGGGUGAGUAAUAUAUCGGAACGUGCCCAGUAGCGGGGGAUCACUACUCGACAGCGUGGCUACUACCGCAUACUAUUGGAGCGGGCGAUAUCGGAUUAGCUAGUUGGUGGGGUACAGGCUCACCAAGGCAACGAUCCGUAGCUGGUUUGAGCGGACGACAAGCAACACUGGGAAUGAGCAACGGCCCAGACUCCUACGGGAGGCAGGAGGGGGGAAUGUUGGACAAUGGGGUAAACCCUGAUCCAGCCAUCCCGCGUGUAUGAGAAGGCCUUCGGGUUGGAAAGUACUUUUGGCAGAGAAGCGGUAUCUGAAGAAUAAGCACCGGCUAACUACGUGCCAGCAGCCGCGGUAAUAC